GAGACAAAGCGGCUUGUCGCUGCGCCAAGUUCGCAAGGCGGAGAGGAAAGUCCGGGCAACGUAGAGCACCAUACUUCCUAACGGGAAGUUGCCAGCUUUUUCAUGCGUGAAAAAAAAAAGCAAACUAAUGCAACAGAAAAGAACCGCCUUUGAAGUCUUCGGAUUUUGGGGUAAGGGUGAAAAGGUGAGGUAAGAGCUUACCGGGAGCAUAGCGAUAUGUUCCGUCCGUGCAUGUUAUGGGUUGUAAGAUCAUGUAUACCGACGUUUAAGUGUUGCUCGCACGAUGUCGGGGGGUAGAUCGCUAGAGAUUGCAGGCGACUGCAAUAGUAGAUAAAUGACAAGCGCCAUUUCUUCGGACAUGGUACAGAACCCGGCUUAUAGCUUUGUCUCGUUA
rnacentral:RNase_P_RNA from 1 species